ACUUUCUUCUUCUGCUUUUCCCCACUCUACUUUUCUCUCCGACUCCCCCAUCCCCAACCUCUCUCCUACAGGCACAGGUCAACCUCCAAGAAAGGCGAAAGAAAGCCAGGCACAAGGCCCCAGCGCUGCUGGGGCGCUGUACUGGCUCUGAGAAGUCUGCGCUUGGGGCAGCUGCAACAAUGAAGGACCAAGGUCUCCUGCCUGGUCCGAGAGCAGUGGCAGGAGCUGCCCAGCAAAGGCAAAGACGAGGUCUGUGAGGGGCCCAAAGCCGGCGUUGUGCAUCUGGGUCCGGUUCAGAGUCAGCCCAUCGGAGAAGGUCAUGGUGUCCUGCUCCGGGGUGUACCUUGUGCAGAUCCGUAGCAUCUGGAGGCUGUGGAAGGAGACAGGCCUCCGGGCUUAACUCACCAGGAUGUCCAGGCAGGCGGCCUUGAGCAGAGUGAUCUGGUCAGCAAUGCUAAGCCCGGUAAAGCCAGGCAGCCGCUUGGCAAACUCCACGAUCUUGAUGAUACACUUGGUGGCCAGCUCACUGAACUUGUCCCAGAGCCCCAGAUCCAGCUGCACCCGGUGGUCUGCACUGGAGUUCUACAGCGAAGGCAGGCCCCUGGAGAACCCCAAGAGGUGGAGCAAGAUUUCCCUUCUCAAUGUGGAUGUCUCCAAGGUGCUAGGGACCCAGCAGUAGGAUCCAGGAUGCAGCCUCAGAGAGAAGUUCCAGACUCCUUCAUGCACCACCCUCCCUCCCAUAGACUAAGAGAGAGAGAGGGCGAAGAGAGAGACACAGACUCAAGACGUGCCACCAGAAGGCCUCAGCAACCAGACACACCAUCGUCAACAGCUCUAUUAAAUGUGGCCUCCUCACACUGACUCUGUUGUGUGCACUGGAAUCUAUGUAUGAGCAGAGAGUCUCGAGGACAGGCUGUGCCUAGACAACUGUAUACGGUCUACACACACGUGUGCACUCACACUCACAAACACACACAUUCACACACCUUCUCCAGAUGAGCACACUCUUUCCACUAGAGCUGCCAGCCCAUCUAGUCACCCCUUCACACAAACACACAACCCUCCAUGUGCACCCCUCCUGAAGGCAGGGCCCUUUCUCUCCCACCUCUCUCUCCCUGACCUUGCGGGACUAUAAAGGAUGUCUUUAUCUUUCUGUCUUUUUUUUUUUUUCCUUCUCCGUCUCUGGGCCUCCGCUUUUCUGCCCUUCUCUGUGCCUCUUCUUCCAUCACUGCCCCUUCUUUCCAGGUGAGGGUUCUCUACACCUGCUCACAUGUGGCCCCUUUACCCCCCAGCAGAACGCAGCCACCCAGCCCUCCAGCCCCUGGGCACCCACGCCUGUCAUGGCUUGGUCAAGAAGACCCACUACGAAGUGGGAGGCAAGAGGAUCCAGAAGGAAGAGGAGAGGCCUGACGCUUGUCUGCUGUCAGCACUCAGGCUUAUCCCAAAGAGGGCAGGCCUGAGGGACAAGUAGGGAUCUGCAUAGCAUGUGGGCACCAAGCCAGAGCUAGAGGGAGGGGAGGAGUCCAGAACCCACAUGGCUGGAGGAAAGGAUGCUUCUGGAACACCCCCUUACCUCCCCGGAUACUUAUGGUAUAAGGGCCACCUUCUCUGCAGCUGUUUCCACCAUCCCCACCACCAAGAGGAGAGUUCCCUGACCCCACUCAUCUUUGGGCACCUGGCACUAUUUCAUUUCCUUUCUGUGCUGUCUGCCUCUAAGCUGCCUCACCAGCUUCACCCCUUGAUCACAUUCAGCUGAUUGGCCUUCCAGACUCCUCCACCCCCAAGCUGUUCCCCCACUGUACCCACCACAGCAUACAGGCAGGAGCCUCACACUUCCCCAGACACACCUCUGGCUGCCCAUAAAAAAUAUUCUCCACCACCAGUUGACUCAGGAGGCAACAUUCUAGGCUUUGGGGGCAGGAGAACUCUCAUUUGCAAACAAUGUCAUUUGUUCCACAUGCAAACCCCCUCCCACAACCCCUGUCCCCUACUCCUUUAGAUCAAACCCCCAACCCUGCCCGCCUUGCUAACUAGGGUGCCAAUGUUUUCUAGCUCCCACCUCUAAAUGUCCUCCAGUUUCCCCCUGCCCUCCUCAUCCCCCAAGGUCCCUGAGACUCACACAGA